GGAAGCAGUAAAAUCCACCACCACCAGUUUUUUGGUCUCCACACCCUUCUGGAGCUGCACCUUCCACUCCUCAACCUUGUGGCAGCCGAUCACUUGUCCUUCCUCAGAUGAAGUGGCCAUUCUCAAAGAUAUUAGAAAUCAAAAAAUCAAAAAUAACACCAAACAAGUCCUUAGCUCUUCGUAAAACUAACGCACAAUGCC
rnacentral:misc_RNA from 1 species